rnacentral:lncRNA from 1 species
UGGGGAAUUUUUGGCUGAAUUUGGGGAAUUUUGGAGGAUUUUGGGCUGAAUUUGGGGGAUUUGUGGGGAAUUUGGGAUUUUGGGGGGAAUUUGGGGCCUUUUUAGGGUAUUUUGGGCUGGAUUUGCUUUUUUGGGGGGGAAUUUGGGGCUUUUUGGGGCAAUUCAGGGGAUUUUUGGUGGAUUUGGGGUGGAUUUUGAGGGAAUUUUGGCCGUUCCUGGGCGGAUUUUCACGGGGAUUUUUGGGUGAAUUUUGAGGGAAUUUCGGCCGUUCCUGGGCGGAUUUUCGCGGGGAUUUUUGGGUGAAUUUGGGGCGGAUUUCGCCGUUCCGGGGCAGAUUUUCGCGGGGAUUUUUGGGUGAAUUUGUGGCGGAUUUCGGCCGUUCCGGGGCGGAUUUUAGUGGGAAUUUCUGGGAUUUUGAGUGGAUUUUGGGGAAUUUGGGGUGGAUUUUGGGUGGAUUUUGGCCGUUCCGGGGCGGAUUUUCGCGGGGAUUUUUGGGAUUUUUCCGGGAAUUUGGGGCGGAUUUGGGGCGGAUUUGGAACAGAUUUAGGCCGUUCCUGGGUGGAUUUUCGUGGGAAUUUUUGGGAUUUUUGGGGAUUUUGGGUGAAUUUAGGGCGGAUUUCGGCCGUUCCCAGGUGGAUUUUCGCGGGCAUUUUUGGGUGAAUUUUGAGCGGAUUUCUCCGUUCCGGGGCAGAUUUUCGCGGGGAUUUUUGGGAUUUUUGGGUGAAUUUGUGGCGGAUUUCGGCCGUUCCCGGGCAGAUUUUAGUGGGAAUUUCUGGGAUUUUGAGUGGAUUUUGGGGAAUUUNNNNNNNNNNUGGGGAAUUUGGGGUGGAUUUUGGGUGGAUUUUGGCCGUUCCGGGGCGGAUUUUCGUGG